rnacentral:misc_RNA from 1 species
AACGCACGAGACCUGCGGACCUGCGGAAGGAUCAUUACCGAGUUAUACAACUCCCAAACCCACUGUGAACCUUACCUCAGUUGCCUCGGCGGGACCGCCCCGGCCGCCGCGCAAGCGGCGCCGGACUCCAAGGCGCCCGCCGCAGGGACCCAAAACUCUUUUGCAUUACGCCCAACGGCGGGAAUUUUUUCUCUGAGUGCAUAAGCAAAACAAAUGAAUCAAAACUUUUAACAACGGAUC